rnacentral:rRNA from 1 species
UACGAAGGGGGCUAGCGUUGCUCGGAAUCACUGGGCGUAAAGCGCACGUAGGCGGAUUGUUAAGUCGGGGGUGAAAUCCUGGAGCUCAACUCCAGAACUGCCUUCGAUACUGGCGAUCUUGAGUCCGGGAGAGGUGAGUGGAACUCCGAGUGUAGAGGUGAAAUUCGUAGAUAUUCGGAAGAACACCAGUGGCGAAGGCGGCUCACUGGCCCGGUACUGACGCUGAGGUGCGAAAGCGUGGGGAGCAACAGG